rnacentral:lncRNA from 1 species
AUGGAGGGCGCAGUCGCCAGGGCGGGGCGGGGUCUGGGGCCCCGGGAAUUGGGGGCGGGCUCUCGGGCCGGAGAGGGCGCUCCGCCUCGGCAGCUCCGGACUCGUGGGGGGGGGGGGGUGCGGGUAGGGAGCCCUGAGGCCCGUGCGCUUCGGCCCCCCGGGGCUCCUCGUGACGCGGCACCCCGACGGGAGUCCAGCCGGCUAGGCGGGAGCUCCGCCCUCGGCCCCGCCCAGCCCCGAGCCCCAAAUUGCGGUGGGGUCCUGGGGAGGUGGGGUAAGGCCCGGCGUGCAGGGAGAAGUUGGGAGCGUGGCACUGGCAGGCGGGGAGCGAAGCGCCUAGGCGCGGGAAGGCCGGGAACAGCCACAGGUCGCGAAGCCAUGGGGUGGGCAGCCCGAGCGCCGACUGGGGGCGGCCCCGCGCGGCCCGGCCCCGCCCCUCCCGGUCGGUGCCCGCCCCCCUGCGCGCCCCGCCCCCUCCUUCCCCGCAGCCCCCACCCCCCGCCCCGGCUCCUCAACACAAACUUUCCGUCCCGCUCGCUCCCUCCUCCGCGCCCGGCGCCUCCCGCUCCGGCCCGGCUCAUUCCGCACAUUCCGGCCAGCCCCCUCCCCAAGACCCCCCUUCCCCGGCCCCCCUCUCAGCUUUUUCGGGCCCGGCGGAGCGGCCCGGCCGGAGCGCCCCCCCCGAGCUCGGACCAGGUAAGCCGGGAGGACGCCGGGAAGAGGCCGUACUGGGAGAGGUGGUUUGGUUGGCUGGUUCUGGAUUGGGGGGGCACUCGCGGGGGGCUAGAUCCCCGAGCUAUUGUCCAGCUUGAGCCUGAGCCCCGGAUCUGGGUGCCGGGAAGUUUAGAGGGAAGGGGGGGAAAAGCUCUCCGGGAAGCCCCGCCCACCCCUCCCACCCCUACCCCCCUCCCCCCGCGACCCGGACGAGUUGGUUGGGGGAGGUCGGGGAACCGGGAGAUUGUCUCCGGUGCCUUCGUCUGCCCCACCGUCCGAGUAUGGGGUGCCGAGGCAGGGGUCUUGGGGGCGCACGGUUCGGGGGCCCUGCCACUGGGGAGCUCGUACCCAGGACUCCCAGUCCCGGGCCCCGCCGCCCUUUGGACUCCCGGCUCGCGCUCUCUCCGAGCCCGCCCGGCUCCAGCUCCACGCAGGCCUCGGGCCCGGCCUCCCGGCGUCCAGGCCGGCUCCUGCGCGCGGUGCCUGUGGCUGCGCUGGAUUGUGGAGGGUGACUGGGAGCAGAGCUGCGCGCCCUGGGCGUGUGCCCCCUGA